ACGAACGCUGGCGGCGUGCUUAACACAUGCAAGUCGAGCGAGAAGGGAUCCUUCGGGAUCCUGGAGAGCGGCGAACGGGUGAGUAACACGUAAGUAACCUGCCCUUAAGUGGGGGAUAACUUGCCGAAAGGCAGGCUAAUACCGCAUGCGCUGGUAAGCGUUAGCUUAUCAGCAAAGCUUUUGCGCUUGAGGAGGGGCUUGCGUCUGAUUAGAUAGUUGGUAGGGUAAUGGCCUACCAAGUCGAUGAUCAGUAGCUGGUCUGAGAGGACAACCAGCCAGACGGGGACUGAGAUACGGCCCUGACUCCUACGGGAGGCAGCAGCAAGGAAUUUUGCGCAAUGGGCGAAAGCCUGACGCAGCGACGCCGCGUGGGGGAUGACGGCCUUCGGGUUGUAAACCCCUUUUCCCGAGGAAGAAAUAUGACGGUACUCGGGGAAUAAGUCUUGGCUAACUACGU
rnacentral:rRNA from 1 species